UACGGAGGGGGCGAGCGUUAUUCGGAAUUAUUGGGCGUAAAGGGCGCGUAGGCGGCUGUACAAGUCAAAGGUGAAAUCCCUCGGCUCAACUGAGGAACUGCCUUUGAAACUGUACGGCUUGAGGCCGGGAGGGGGUAGCGGAAUUUCCAGUGUAGCGGUGAAAUGCGUAGAUACUGGGAGGAACACCAGUGGCGAAGGCGGCUACCUGGACCGGUUCUGACGCUGAGGCGCGAAAGCGUGGGUAGCAAACAGG
rnacentral:rRNA from 1 species